AGAGUUUGAUUAUGGCUCAGGAUGAACGCUGGCGGCGUGCUUAAGACAUGCAAGUCGAACGCAGAAUUGUAGCAAUACGGUUCUGAGUGGCGAAUGGGUGCGUAACACGUAGGUGACCUGCCCAGAAGUGUGGAAUAACAGUCCGAAAGNNNNGCUAAUACCGCAUGUGGCGCGCGGGGUUAGAGGCCCGCACGCGAAAGGUCUGCAAAGAUCGCUUCUGGAGGGGCCUGCGGNNNNUCAGUUAGUUGGUAGGGUAACGGCCUACCAAGACUACGACGGGUAGGGGACCUCAGAGGGUGGCCCCCCACACUGGCACUGACACACGGGCCAGACUCCUACGGGAGGCAGCAGUCGGGAAUAUUGCCCAAUGGUCGCAAGACUGAGGCAGCAACGCCGCGUGCGCGAUGAAGGCCUUCGGGUCGUAAAGCGCUUUUCAGUGGGAUGAGGAAGGGACAGUACCACUGGAGUAAGGUACGGCUAACUACGUGCCAGCAACCGCGGUAAAACGUAGGUACCGAGCGUUAUCCGGAUUUACUGGGCGUAAAGCGUGUUCAGGCGGUCUAGCAAGUCGGGCAUGAAAUCUCUGGGCUCAACCCGGAGGGGUUGUCCGAUACUGCUGGGCUUGAGGGCAGCAGAGGGUGGUGGAAUUCCGGGUGUAGUGGUGAAAUGCGUAGAUAUCCGGAGGAACACCAGUGGCGAAGGCGGCCACCUGGGCUGUACCUGACGCUCAAACACGAAAGCUAGGGGAGCGAACGGGAUUAGAAACCCCGGUAGUCCUAGCCGUAAACGAUGUUGACUAGGUGUCGACGGUCUAAACCCCGCCGGUGCCGGAGCUAACGCACGAAGUCAACCGCCUGGGGACUACGGCCGCAAGGUUAAAACUCAAAGGAAUUGACGGGGACCCGCACAAGCAGCGGAGCGUGUGGUUUAAUUCGAGGCUACGCGCAGAACCUUACCAGGGAUUGACAUGGCUGUGGUAGUGAAGCGAAAGCGGAACGAUCCCUUCGGGGAGCAGUCACAGGUGAUGCAUGGCUGUCGUCAGCUCGUGCCGUGAGGUGUUUGGUUAAGUCCACUAACGAGCGCAACCCUUAGCCUCAGUUAUACGUGUCUGAGGCGACUGCCGGUAUUAAGCCGGAGGAAGGUGGGGAUGACGUCAAGUCCGCAUGUCCUUUAUACCCUGGGCUACACACACGCUACAAUGGCCAGUACAAUGGGUCGCCAAGCCGCGAGGCGGAGCCAAUCCUAAAAAGCUGGUCUCAGUUCGGAUUGCAGGCUGCAACCCGCCUGCAUGAAGUCGGAGUUGCUAGUAACCGCAGGACAGCUAUACUGCGGUGAAUACGUUCCCGGGUCUUGUACACACCGCCCGUCACGUCAUGGGAGCUGGCAACACCUGAAGCCGGUGGGCGAACCGCAAGGACGCAGCCGUCGAAGGUGGGGUCGGUGACUGGGACGAAGUCGUAACAAGGUAGCUGUAGCGGAAGCUGCGGCUGGAUCACCUCCUUUCU
rnacentral:rRNA from 1 species